rnacentral:rRNA from 1 species
CUGGCUCAGGAUGAACGCUAGCUACAGGCUUAACACAUGCAAGUCGAGGGGAAACGACAUCGAAAGCUUGCUUUUGAUGGGCGUCGACCGGCGCACGGGUGAGUAACGCGUAUCCAACCUGCCCAUCACUUGGGGAUAACCUUGCGAAAGUAAGACUAAUACCCAAUGACGUCUCUAGAAGACAUCUGAAAGAGAUUAAAGAUUUAUCGGUGAUGGAUGGGGAUGCGUCUGAUUAGCUUGUUGGCGGGGUAACGGCCCACCAAGGCGACGAUCAGUAGGGGUUCUGAGAGGAAGGUCCCCCACAUUGGAACUGAGACACGGUCCAAACUCCUACGGGAGGCAGCAGUGAGGAAUAUUGGUCAAUGGGCGAGAGCCUGAACCAGCCAAGUAGCGUGCAGGAUGACGGCCCUAUGGGUUGUAAACUGCUUUUAUAAGGGAAUAAAGUGAGUCUCGUGAGGCUUUUUGCAUGUACCUUAUGAAUAAGGACCGGCUAAUUCCGUGCCAGCAGCCGCGGUAAUACGGAAGGUCCGGGCGUUAUCCGGAUUUAUUGGGUUUAAAGGGAGCGUAGGCCGGAGAUUAAGCGUGUUGUGAAAUGUAGACGCUCAACGUCUGCACUGCAGCGCGAACUGGUUUCCUUGAGUACGCACAAAGUGGGCGGAAUUCGUGGUGUAGCGGUGAAAUGCUUAGAUAUCACGAAGAACUCCGAUUGCGAAGGCAGCUCACUGGAGCGCAACUGACGCUGAAGCUCGAAAGUGCGGGUAUCGAACAGGAUUAGAUACCCUGGUAGUCCGCACGGUAAACGAUGGAUGCCCGCUGUUGGUCUGAAUAGGUCAGCGGCCAAGCGAAAGCAUUAAGCAUCCCACCUGGGGAGUACGCCGGCAACAGUGAAACUCAAAGGAAUUGACGGA